UACGUAGGGUGCGAGCGUUUAUCGGAAUUACUGGGCGUAAAGCGUGCGCAGGCGGUGAUGUAAGACAGAUGUGAAAUCCCCGGGCUCAACCUGGGAACUGCAUUUGUGACUGCAUCGCUGGAGUACGGCGGAGGGGGAUGGAAUUCCGCGUGUAGCAGUGAAAUGCGUAGAUAUGCGGAGGAACACCGAUGGCGAAGGCAAUCCCCUGGGCCUGUACUGACGCUCAUGCACGAAAGCGUGGGGAGCAAACAGG
rnacentral:rRNA from 1 species